UAGGGCUUUUUGUAUUGAUCGGGCAAAUGAAAGGAACGAAUGGAAGCAGACGAGCGAUGGCAAUUGAAAGUAACACGAGGGCACACAAAUUACGAGAGGAAAGCACGAAGGCUUUUUGUACUCCGGUCGUUUGGACGAUCGAUUGAGAGAAGGAGAGAUCGUCACUGGGUUUGGACGAACCGAAUCAAGGAAGAUGGGAAGAAGCAGCGAAGCUUUCUUCCUGCUCCGAUGGUGAUGCGUGAAGGGGGAAAGGGAACCGGUCUGCCUGGAGCGAUGCGAGCAGCAGCAGCAACGAAGUCGACACCUUCGGAGGUAUUUGAUCGAUAGUAACAGAAGAGAAGGAGAGCGAGGGCAAAGGAGUUCCGAUGGGAGUCCGGUCGGUCAGCAGCACGAUCGUAGGUGGUGUGUUGGGCAGCGGAGCUCGACGGGAAGAAGUGAAGGUUGUGAGGGGCGUUGCUCCGAUCGGGAAGGAGGAGCACAAUCGGGGCUGAUGUGGUUGUUCCUGGCAGCAACGAGAUGAAGAAGAACGGAGAAGAGACUGCUGGUCUUUAAUUGCCUCAUUGUCAACCUUAAUUGGGAAAAUUGUUUCCAACACGUGAGCUUUCUGUGUAGCUUUGUAUUAGCUUUGUGUGUAGUAUUUGUUAUAGAAUGAUUUAUUUACUUUGUGUGUAGCUUUGGAUUUAUAUGUUAUUCGGGAUACAUUACAAAUAAUAGAAAUCAUGAUUUAUUUA